CAGAACGAACGCUGGCGGCGUGGCUAAGACAUGCAAGUCGAACGGACUAUAUUGAAGAGUAAUCGGAUAUAUAGUUAGUGGCGAAAGGGCGAGGAAUAAAUAGGUAACGUACCCUGAACUUUGGGAUAGCGUCUCGAAAGAGGCAGUAAUACUGUAUAAUAUCUUCGACCUCAAGGUUGAUGAUCAAAGAUUUAUCGGUUUAGGAGCGGCCUAUUUCCCAUCAGCUUGUUGGUAAGGUAAUGGCUUACCAAGGCAUCGACGGGUAUCGGGACUGAGAGGUUGACCCGACGCAUCGGAACUGAGACACUGUCCGGACCUCCACGGAGGGCUGCAGUAACGAAUAUUGCACAAUGGGCGAAAGCCUGAUGCAGCAACGCCGCGUGUAGGAUGAAGCUCCUUGGAGUGUAAACUACUGUCAGGGGUUAGAAAGUGCGCUUAGGCGCAUUGAUCACCCCCAGAGGAAGUCACGGCUAACUUCGUGCCAGCAGCCGCGGUAAUACGAAGGUGGCGAGCGUUGUUCGGAAGUAUUGGGCUUAAAGAGCACGUAGGCGGAUCAGAAAGUGUCUUGUGCAAACUUGAGGCUUAACUUCAAGCUUGCCAUUGAUACUGUUAUUCUUGAGUGUGGCAGAGGUUGGUGGAAUUCCUGGUGUAGCGGUGGAAUGCGCAGAUAUCAGGAAGAACACCGGUGGCGAAGGCGACCAACUGGGCCGUUACUGACGCUGAGGCGCGAAAGCUAGGGUAGCGAACGGGAUUAGAUACCCCGGUAGUCCUAGCCGUAAACGAUGGAUGCUAGACGUGUAUCGACCCCCCCUGUGUCGCAGUUAACGCAUUAAGCAUCCCGCCUGGGGAGUACGAUCGCAAGAUUGAAACUCAAAGGAAUUGACGGGGGCCCGCACAAGCGGUGGAGCAUGUGGUUUAAUUCGACGCAACGCGAAGAACCUUACCUAGGCUUGAACUGCAGGGAAAAACCGGCGAAAUAGAGUUCUUCGGGUCGUUCCUGUGAAGGUGCUGCAUGGCUGUCGUCAGCUCGUGUCGUGAGAUGUUGGGUUAAGUCCCGCAACGAGCGCAACCUUUGCCGUUAGUUGCCAUCAGGUCAAGCUGGGCACUCUAACGGGACUGCCCCGGAAAUCGGGGAGGAGGGUGGGGAUGACGUCAAGUCCUCAUGUCCUUUAUGUCUAGGGCUACACACGUGCUACAAUGGGCGAUACAAAGGGCUGCGAUGCCGCGAGGUGGAGCCAAUCCCAAAAAAUCGUCCUCAGUUCGGAUUGCAGUCUGCAACUCGACUGCAUGAAGGUGGAAUCGCUAGUAAUCGCGGAUCAGCAUGCCGCGGUGAAACGUUCCCGGGCAUUGUACACACCGCCCGUCACGCCAUGGGAGUCGGUAGCACCCGAAGCCGGUGGCCCAAUCCUGCUUGCAGGAGGG
rnacentral:rRNA from 1 species